AAUCUCGUCACUCAUCGUUUCUUUAUCAAUCAGUCCCUUGUUUAGGUUUCUCCUUCUUUAUUGCUGUUUUAUGUGAAAUACUUCUAUCUCUGAUUAAUGAAAUUCAAUACAUGUGAUCUCCGUCCAAAUAACAAUGUGUGGUUGCUCAAUUCACAGAAUCAGUUUGCUUUAGGGAAAGAGUCAAAGAAGUUCAAACCCAUACAAAACUCGAUGCCUUUUAUUGGCUAAUUGCAUGUUUUUAGAUCUUAGAAUUUCGCCCAUGUUUCCAUUUCCAGUUGUCUCGAUUGUGACUUUUCAUCACGAGUGCUGCUGGCGGUCAAUUUGUCUGGCUUAAUAUAUAUAUAUAUAUAUAUAUAGAUAAUUCCUAGUAACUGAUAUUUUCAUGAAUUUUCUUUGAUUUAUUGGUUUCUUCUGUCCGAAAUUUGUUAACUUUGUGUCUAACAAUUAAAGAAAGAGAUAGCUAUGUGACUUAUUGAAUAUAAACUAUAGAGUGGUCAUAUUGUUCAAGUUACUUUCAAAAGUCUGGAGCCAGGAUAUCAAAGAAGAGUAGGAGGUAGCCUUUUCAAAAGUUAUGAGGAUUCUAUUGUAUAGUUGGUGGCUGCUUUCAAGAUGAUAGGAUUUUAUUUUUUUUUUCUUUACCUCUUUUAACGAAACUUCUUUUUGUUUGUCAAUAUCUCUUCUGCUCUCUGGGUCAACUAAUGAUUAUAAAAAGAAACAAGUUUGUUCAAGGCAUAUGCAUAAAUAAAAAGCAUGUGGCCACAGAAGAUGUGGUUGAGGACUUCAUCUUUAGGUAGGGUUAAGAUUAGAGCGGAAUAUGUGUUACCCAAAACUGAUCAAGCUUCUGUUUAAGGCUUCAGGUCUCUUGUUACAUUUAGCUGAGAGUUGAGAUAAAGUCUAUUGUUAAGUCUGAGUUUGCUAUUACUUCGAAUCACACCCUGUGAUAGAGGUAGAAGGGAAAUAGAGGGAGAGAAAUAGUAUUUUCUUUCACAAGACCCCAUUACAACCUAGAGAUCCUAUUUAUAGAAAAUAUACCCAAAUACCCAAACUACCCUUUUAUCCCUAAUUCCCCUUACUAUUUCCAAUUCCCAUGUAUCAAUAUACUCCCUCCUAAAAGAGAUCCUUGUCCUCAAGGAUGAGUACAAAACCUGAAAGUAAAACAAGCAUACAUUGAAAAUAAGAUUUCCCCCCCCCCCCCCCCCCCCCUCAAAAUGACAACACAUAAAGGCUCGACUACUAGAGUUAGUGAGCUGAAGAAGUUGAAGGCAACGGCAGAAUCAAUGUGCUCUUAGCCAGAGUCAGGGACGAGCCACCCCAAUAGAACCACCCCUUACCAUUCCCUUGCCAAGAGGCUUUUGGGCCCAGGAAUGCUGCAGAAACCCAGCACUUAAUCCAAAAAAAAACAAGAAGAAGAAGAAGUAGAAGCUCCCACACUUUUGUCAAGCCCACUGUUAUAGCCCACAAUUAUCUAAAACAUGUGACAAGGAGCUUGCUUGCUGCUGCGUGGAGAAUACAUGGAAGACACCUAGGACAAAUCCGCCAUCAUGGAAAACUUUGACUCUUGGGGUAUUUUUAUCAUCGCACAUGCACCCAGCAGAAAAUUCGAGAAGCUCAAAUUUUGGAUUUGGUCCAGCUCGCUUCCACAUGCAACGCACACAGCUGGAGGGGAUAGAGUAAAUCCCAAAUAAAACCCUAUAUCCAUGAUCACUUGCAAACAAGGUUUUAAAAACCGAACCGGUCAUUGAACCAGCUAGGGUAGUGGUUCACGAUUCAUUGGUUCAACAAGGAUUGAACCGUUGUUGAACCAGUGGUUAAUAAAUUAAUAUAUUUUAAAUUUUAUGUAUUAAAAUAAUACAAUGAUAAGUAUAAAUAUUUACAUGGAACAUUUUAAAAAAGAGAUAAAUAAAUUAAAAUACAAAUUAUUAUUUAUCCACAUAUUAAGAAAUUUUUAUUAAGAUUAAAAGCAUCAUCAAAGGUCAAUAAAAAAAAAGAAAUAUAUAUUGUAGAUAAUAAUUAAAAUGGUUUAUGCUCUUUAAAAUUAUGACCAUCAAGCAUAAUUUAGAGAUAAAUUUAAACAAAAAUUUGAAAUAUUUUGAUCAAGAAAAAAUAUAGAUUGAUACUAUGAAGUAUAAAUAUGAAAUAUAUGUUUAUAUUAUUAAUAAAAAAGUCAUGGAGAUCAACAAAAAAUAUCAUUAAAGAUAAGAGAAAAAUAGAAAAAAUUACAAACAGCAAGCAAAGAAGAAGAAACAAUGAACAUUAGCGAGUUAGCCCCACAUCGUUUGGAAUGAAAGAGGAAAUGGCUGAGGCUCACUAUAAGUACAGGAAACCGGAUGCAUUAGUCUGCAGGAUGUGCCCAGUGGUCUUGCACGUAGGGCCUGAAUGACUUUAUCAUUAAUUCAGAAAUCCUCUAGCAAGUGAAUGGAGUGAUCAUCUUCAGCGAGUGGUAUGAAGGUAGUGCAAGUAAGAGUUUGGUGCAUCCCGUCCCCUCCUCAGUGAAUUGUGGCUAAUGCUUGGAGUAAAUAGCAAUGACAGUGAAAAUCUAGCAAGGAUGGUUGUGUUUCAUGUUGCUUCAUCUUCAUCAGUGUUAGAGGUCCCAUUAGGCUUUAAUGUUUUGAGCAUUGCAUCGACUUCCUCUUCAUUCAUAGUUAGUCUAGCAACUUUGUCUUGCGCUACUUUUAUAAUCCCUUGCUCUUGACCCGCUUCAAUCUCCACGUCAUGCUCAAGCUUUUGUUCUUCAUCUGCAUCAAUGUCAUUCAAUUAUGCCAUUGUUUCUGCGUUGAUGUUACUAUUCUAUUGCCGGUCAUCAAACUCAUUCACGGUUGAAACAUGGUUCAGCUAUUCUGACUCUGCAACUGCUAUGAGGAUUGUUGUUCCAGUGACCGAAGGCUAAAGAGGAAUAGCUAUAGUAGAGGCAAAGGUCAUCAUUGAUGAAAGAGAGGGUGGAAGGUUACAUGACAUGUUAAAUGGUUCACCCAUAGCAACGAUAAGAGGGCUCAAGCACUAAUUGGCAAGCACAAAGAGCUUAACCAAGAUUUCAUGCAUCUGUUGGGAAAGCUGAGACAUGGUUUGCCUAAUCUCAAUGAAGUCAUGAUUUUGCUAUUCUAAUGUCUGUUGGUGGCACUGGAGAAAAGUCAACUGCAUCUCCAAAUGAUGUUCAAGGGCACCAAUGCAUUCAUUGGAUUGGAUCUCUGAGAAAGCCUUGGCCAGAGAGUUGGCUCUGAUACCUUUGAUAGAGGUAGAAGAGAAAUAGGGAGAGAAAUAGAAUUUUCAUUCCCAAGACUCCAUUACAAUCUAGAGACCCUAUUUAUAGAGAAUAAAUAUCCAAAAUACCCUUUUAUCCCUAAUUCCUCUAAUUACCCUUACUAUUCUCAUUUCCCAUGUAACACUGUUGGUAGUUGCUCUCAAGUUGCAACUGAUAAGUGGGAACCAGUUCCUGAAAAUUUGUCAAUAUAAAUCAACAAACAGGUUGGGUUUUAGCUAGAAUGGGCAUAACCUUUCUUCUUCCAGAAAGUGGAGUAGCCAGUUGGUAUUUAUUGUGUUGAACAAUAGGCAAUAGCUAAACCAUUUUGAUUGUGAGCCUUUGAUAAAUUAACUGUUCUCUUUUAUUCACCUCUUUUCAAACUAAA